CAAUGCAUUCAUUGAAAUCAGUCGCCAUGUGGUUGCUUCUUUUGUCGGCCAUUUUUGCUCUGUCGCAAGGAAGACCACCGCAACCAGAAGAAAAGUUAAUUGCGAGUGAGAACAAAGAACUGGUUCUUCACCCGGAACAGAACUUGGAUCUGUCACGAUCCCAUCUGCGAAACAAACGUGCGCUGUGUGCUCCCAGAUUCAGCAAGAUCCUUAUCCAACCGUGCGUUUUCCACUGUGAAUCGUUUGCUAUGCGUGGUAAGUGUAGCAACGAUAGAAAGUGUAGCUGCUUUCCUUUUUGAGUUUGAAGAA